rnacentral:misc_RNA from 1 species
ACCAAGAUGAAGGCGGUUCGCCGCUUCUUCGAGGAAGGCGACAAGGUCAAGCUGACGCUUCGCUUCCGCGGCCGCGAGAUGGCGCAUCUCGAACUCGGCAUGGAACUGCUGAACAAGGUCAAGGCCGAGGUCGAAGGCAUCGCCAAGGUCGAGGCAGAGCCGAAGCUCGAAGGCCGCCAGAUGAUGAUGGUGCUGUCGCCGAAGUGAUCCUUCGGCGGCCGCGCGCCGCAAAGCCCCGACAUAUGGCCGAAUCGGUAUUGCUCUUUUGCGGGCGCAUCUGUAUAAGGCCGCGU